GCUGAAAAUAUGCAGGCAAGACUAAGGAGAAGGAACGCGGGUAAAUAGGUAUGAAAUCGGGGCAGCCUGACAGCCAGAUGUGGAUCUAAAUAAGAUAUGACCUCUUUCUGCUUUCCAGGAUAGGCAUCUGUGAGCACCAGCAGAGGAGUCAUGUGCUGUGGGAAGGGACACCAGCACCUCAGCAGGGGCCCUGGUCACAUCCGCUCCCCCACUGUUCAAAUAGGUCUCUGUGUGGAACAGUGCUGAGGACACUGGGACUGCGUGUAGAGCAACCCUGUGUCAGUGGCCAGCACAGCCAGGUGCGCUCGCCAGCCCAAGACCAUGAGCCCCUUCCCACGGGCCUCUUCUGCUCCGGCAUUCUCAAGAGCACCGGUAAUACAGAACUCACUUCAUUUAAAGGAGAAGCAUACGCCACUGUCCGUGUAAAGCAGAAGAGCUCACAUCAGUGGGGUUUCAAACUGGGGGGGAGGGGGACGGGGGUACUUGUGAGCUUCCGGCUCUAGCAACAGCUCUUAGCAAUGAGGACCCUUGCGUCCCACAACAGCGUGACUUAUCCAAGGUCACACAGUCUGAGGCUUAAAUCUAGGUACACUCAGUUAUAAGCAAGAAUUCCUUUUUGAGGGCACCUGGGUGGCUCAGUGGGUUAAAGCCUCUGCCUUCAGCUCAGGUCAUGAUCCCAGGGUCCUGGGAUCGAGCCCCGCAUUGGGCUCUCUGCUCAGCAGGGAGCCUGCUUCCCCUGGCUCUCUCUGCCUACUUGUGAUCUCUGU
rnacentral:lncRNA from 1 species